AUGGAUACACGGACUCUCUCUGGACGGGAGAAGGAGGCACCCCUGCUUUACUGUGACAACACGAGUGCUCCGCCUUGAAAUGAGGCUGUUGGGCAGAAAUGGAGAAAACAUGGGGUUUUGAUGAGUGAAUGCAGUUCCCCAAAAGCCUUUCUUCCAGUUACACUUUCGGACUGGUAACAUCAUCUAACAACACAGGGACACUAUCAGAAGAAGACCACGAAAGGCUAUGCCCUUUGGAGUCAAUAUUGAGGUUCCCUAUCACACUGGAAAGUAACAGACCUCAGACAAUGGAUUACUAACCACACUUCACUGAAAGCACCAUCAGAGAAACACGUGACAAAGACAUGGAGAUCAAUGUGCUACUCUGAAAUAUCUCUGCAUUUCCCCAAGACCGUCCUGAAAGACCAGCAAUGGAGAAUAGUUGUACCAGGAGUGGAGUGGUCAGAUGUGUCUGUCUUUGUCAUACAUUGUUAGCAAUUUUGGUUGUUUCUCAAUAAACGUUUUU
rnacentral:lncRNA from 1 species